UACGGAGGGUGCAAGCGUUAUCCGGAUUCACUGGGUUUAAAGGGUGCGUAGGCGGGUUGGUAAGUCCGUGGUGAAAUCCCCAAGCUUAACUUGGGAACUGCCGUUGAUACUAUCUGUCUUGAAUAUCGUGGAGGUGAGCGGAAUAUGUCAUGUAGCGGUGAAAUGCUUAGAUAUGACAUAGAACACCAAUUGCGAAGGCAGCUCACUACGCGAUUAUUGACGCUGAGGCGCGAAAGCGUGGGUAGCAAACAGG
rnacentral:rRNA from 1 species